CCUACGGGAGGCAGCAGUGAGGAAUAUUGGUCAAUGGACGAGAGUCUGAACCAGCCAAGUAGCGUGAAGGAUGACUGCCCUAUGGGUUGUAAACUUCUUUUAUAAAGGAAUAAAACGAGGCACGUGUGCCUUUUUGCAUGUACUUUAUGAAUAAGGAUCGGCUAACUCCGUGCCAGCAGCCGCGGUAAUACGGAGGAUCCGAGCGUUAUCCGGAUUUAUUGGGUUUAAAGGGAGCGUAGAUGGGUUGUUAAGUCAGUUGUGAAAGUUUGGGGCUCAACCGUAAAAUUGCAAUUGAUACUGGCAGUCUAGAGUACAGUUGAGGUAGGCGGAAUUCGUGGUGUAGCGGUGAAAUGCUUAGAUAUCACGAAGAACCCCGAUUGCGAAGGCAGCUUACUAAACUGUGACUGACAUUGAUGCUCGAAAGUGUGGGUAUCAAACAGGAUUAGAUACCCUUGUAGUC
rnacentral:rRNA from 1 species